GAUGAAGAACGUAGCGAAAUGCGAUACGUAAUGUGAAUUGCAGAAUUCAGUGAAUCAUCGAAUCUUUGAACGCAUAUUGCGCUCUUUGGUAUUCCGAAGAGCAUGCUUGUUUGAGUAUCAGUAAACACCUCAACCUCUUCUUGAUUUUUCAAAAGGAGGGUGGACUUGAGCUAUCCCAACAACCUUUACCGGUCGGCGGGCGGCUUGAAAUGCAGGUGCAGCUGGACUUUUAUCUGAGCUAAAAGCAUAUCUAUUUAGUCCUCGUCAAACAGGAUUAUUACUUUUGCUGCAGCUAACAUAAAGGAUAAUUGUCCUCUUUGCUGACUGAUGCAGGAUUUUACGACACUUUAUGUGUAGUUCAACUCGAUCUCAAAUCAAGUAAGACUACCCGCUGAACUUAAGCAUAUCAAUAAGCGGAGGA
rnacentral:misc_RNA from 1 species